rfam:Ovis aries breed Texel chromosome 17, whole genome shotgun sequence.
UCCCUGAUGGUCCAGUGGCUAAAACUCCGUGCUCCCAAUACAGGGGGCCUGGGUUUGAUCCCUGGUCAGGGAA